rnacentral:rRNA from 1 species
GAUGAACGCUGGCGGCGUGCCUAAUACAUGCAAGUCGAGCGAACGGACGAGAAGCUUGCUUCUCUGAUGUUAGCGGCGGACGGGUGAGUAACACGUGGAUAACCUACCUAUAAGACUGGGAUAACUUCGGGAAACCGGAGCUAAUACCGGAUAAUAUUUUGAACCGCAUGGUUCAAAAGUGAAAGACGGUCUUGCUGUCACUUAUAGAUGGAUCCGCGCUGCAUUAGCUAGUUGGUAAGGUAACGGCUUACCAAGGCAACGAUGCAUAGCCGACCUGAGAGGGUGAUCGGCCACACUGGAACUGAGACACGGUCCAGACUCCUACGGGAGGCAGCAGUAGGGAAUCUUCCGCAAUGGGCGAAAGCCUGACGGAGCAACGCCGCGUGAGUGAUGAAGGUCUUCGGAUCGUAAAACUCUGUUAUUAGGGAAGAACAUAUGUGUAAGUAACUGUGCACAUCUUGACGGUACCUAAUCAGAAAGCCACGACUAACUACGUGCCAGCAGCCGCGGUAAUACGUAGGUGGCAAGCGUUAUCCGGAAUUAUUGGGCGUAAAGCGCGCGUAGGCGGUUUUUUAAGUCUGAUGUGAAAGCCCACGGCUCAACCGUGGAGGGUCAUUGGAAACUGGAAAACUUGAGUGCAGAAGAGGAAAGUGGAAUUCCAUGUGUAGCGGUGAAAUGCGCAGAGAUAUGGAGGAACACCAGUGGCGAAGGCGACUUUCUGGUCUGUAACUGACGCUGAUGUGCGAAAGCGUGGGGAUCAAACAGGAUUAGAUACCCUGGUAGUCCACGCCGUAAACGAUGAGUGCUAAGUGUUAGGGGGUUUCCGCCCCUUAGUGCUGCAGCUAACGCAUUAAGCACUCCGCCUGGGGAGUACGACCGCAAGGUUGAAACUCAAAGGGAUUGACGGGGACCCGCACAAGCGGUGGAGCAUGUGGUUUAAUUCGAAGCAACGCGAAGAACCUUACCAAAUCUUGACAUCCUUUGACAACUCUAGAGAUAGAGCCUUCCCCUUCGGGGGACAAAGUGACAGGUGGUGCAUGGUUGUCGUCAGCUCGUGUCGUGAGAUGUUGGGUUAAGUCCCGCAACGAGCGCAACCCUUAAGCUUAGUUGCCAUCAUUAAGUUGGGCACUCUAAGUUGACUGCCGGUGACAAACCGGAGGAAGGUGGGGAUGACGUCAAAUCAUCAUGCCCCUUAUGAUUUGGGCUACACACGUGCUACAAUGGACAAUACAAAGGGCAGCGAAACCGCGAGGUCAAGCAAAUCCCAUAAAGUUGUUCUCAGUUCGGAUUGUAGUCUGCAACUCGACUACAUGAAGCUGGAAUCGCUAGUAAUCGUAGAUCAGCAUGCUACGGUGAAUACGUUCCCGGGUCU